CCCAACAAAAAAAAAUAAAUUAAAGCCUUUGAGAGAGAGAGAGAGACCACCACUCACCGGAAAACCACCUAACUCAGACCCCGUUUUCUAAAUCAUAAGGUCGUUGAUUUCUCGCAUAUUCACAAAACAGCCCCGGGAAUCCUGGGAAAAUCCAGAAGAACAGAGGAGAAAUUUGGGGGAUAAGCAAUGGAUUUCUGGUCUCCGUCUGUCUCUUCAGAUAAUGAGUUGGAGAAGUUUGUCAUCAGAAUGAACCCUCCCAAGGUAACGAUUGAUAACACAUCGAGCAGGAAAGCAACCCUAGUGAAGGUUGAUAGUGCAAAUAAGAGAGGAAGCUUGUUGGAAGUAGUUCAGGUUUU